rnacentral:rRNA from 1 species
UGACCGCUGGCGGCAGGCCUACCACAUGCACGUCGAGCGGCUGAAGGGAGCUUGCUCCUGGCUUCAGCGGCGGACGGGUGAGUAAUGCCUAGGAAUCUGCCUGGUAGUGGGGGAUAACGUCCGGAAACGGGCGCUAAUACCGCAUACGUCCUGAGGGAGAAAGUGGGGGAUCUUCGGACCUCACGCUAUCAGAUGAGCCUAGGUCGGAUUAGCUAGUUGGUGGGGUAAAGGCCUACCAAGGCGACGAUCCGUAACUGGUCUGAGAGGAUGAUCAGUCACACUGGAACUGAGACACGGUCCAGACUCCUACGGGAGGCAGCAGUGGGGAAUAUUGGACAAUGGGCGAAAGCCUGAUCCAGCCAUGCCGCGUGUGUGAAGAAGGUCUUCGGAUUGUAAAGCACUUUAAGUUGGGAGGAAGGGCAGUAAGUUAAUACCUUGCUGUUUUGACGUUACCAACAGAAUAAGCACCGGCUAACUUCGUG